AUUGAACGCUGGCGGCAUGCUUUACACAUGCAAGUCGAACGGUAACAGGCCUUCGGGUGAUGACGAGUGGCGAACGGGUGAGUAAUGCAUCGGAACGUACCCAGAGGUGGGGGAUAACGCAGCGAAAGCUGUGCUAAUACCGCAUGUGAUCUGAGGAUGAAAGCGGGGGACCGAGCAGCAAUGUUUGGCCUCGCGCCUUUGGAGCGGCCGAUGUCGGAUUAGCUAGUUGGUGGGGUAAAGGCCUACCAAGGCGACGAUCCGUAGCUGGUCUGAGAGGACGACCAGCCACACUGGGACUGAGACACGGCCCAGACUCCUACGGGAGGCAGCAGUGGGGAAUUUUGGACAAUGGGCGCAAGCCUGAUCCAGCAAUGCCGCGUGCGGGAAGAAGGCCUUCGGGUUGUAAACCGCUUUUGGCAGGAACGAAACGGUGUCCGCUAAUACCGGGCGCUAAUGACGGUACCUGCAGAAUAAGCACCGGCUAACUACGUG
rnacentral:rRNA from 1 species